rnacentral:pre_miRNA from 1 species
AUCACGAUUCUAACUGGGCGCCUCGAAGGCAAGAUGUCGGCAUAGCUGAUGCGAUUUUAAAAUUCGGCUGUGUCACAUCCAGCCAACCGAACGCUCAGAC